GUCUCACUCUGAGUACUGUGUGUUUCAUCUGCCUUCACUAUCUCACAAUUAUUAUCAACUUGCUGGCUAUAAAAGGCAGGGGCUACAAACACAGUGAACCAAAUGCAGUGCUUGCUUCCUAUCUGUGGUCCAUUGCAUAGCAGUGUGCUUGGGUGCUGCGUAAGACAAUUCCCCCCAACGCCUCCAAAAAAUAGGACAUGGUCCACUGCAGGAGUUCAUAAUCUAGGAGUCCAGAGAGUCCAGGCUCAUCAUCCCUUCAGAAGAAAGAAUCUUCAGGCCUCUGCUCUUGUGAGAGUAAUUUCUCUUAACACUGACAGUGCAGCAAUACAACUACCACCACCUUUCAAUUAUUGAGAGGCAAUCAUCUAAAGCAUUUAGCAAGUGAUCCACUUACAGAGCCAAGCUAAGGGAGCUGAAGAGAAGAGGCCGCCGCCCCAACCCAGGUGUUGAUAAUUAUCUAGCCUUUUGCAAAGCCUCUUCCGUUUCUACUCUGCUCUUUAAGCUAUUUCAUGCCUUGAAGAUGUCUCUACCAGGGAAAAUAAAGAGAUUCAACUCUUCCCCCACCUCCUGCCUGUCUCCAAGACAGAGUGGGGCUGAUGACUGGAGGUGGGAAGGACUAGAGGAAGAUGCCACAAAAUUUAGCAACUGGGCCUGUUAGUCCAUCAAACUGGACUAACAGGAAAGAAGAUUAUGUAAGGA
rnacentral:antisense_RNA from 1 species